UCUGUCGUGAAAUCNUCUGGCUUAACUGGGGGCUUGCGGUGGGUACGGNCCGGCUUGAGUGCGGUAGGGGAGGCUGGAACUCCUGGUGUAGCGGUGGAAUGCGCAGAUAUCAGGAAGAACACCGGUGGCGAAGGCGGGUCUCUGGGCCGUUACUGACGCUGAGGAGCGAAAGCGUGGGGAGCGAACAGGAUUAGAUACCCUGGUAGUCCACGCCGUAAACGUUGGGCACUAGGUGUGGGGGGCCUUUUCCGGGUUUUCCGCGCCGUAGCUAACGCAUUAAGUGCCCCGCCUGGGGAUUACGGCCGCAAGGCUAAAACUCAAAGGAAUUGACGGGGGCCCGCACAAGCGGCGGAGCAUGCGGAUUAAUUCGAUGCAACGCGAAGAACCUUACCAAGGCUUGACAUGUGCCGGUCGGCUCCGGAGACGGGGUUUCCUCCUUGUGGGGCCGGUUCACAGGUGGUGCAUGGUUGUCGUCAGCUCGUGUCGUGAGAUGUUGGGUUAAGUCCCGCAACGAGCGCAACCCUUGUCUCGUGUUGCCAGCACGUUGUGGUGGGGACUCGCGGGAGACUGCCGGGGUCAACUCGGAGGAAGGUGGGGAUGACGUCAAAUCAUCAUGCCCCUUAUGUCUUGGGCUUCACGCAUGCUACAAUGGCCGGUACAGAGGGCUGCGAUACUGUGAGGUGGAGCGAAUCCCUUAAAGCCGGUCUCAGUUCGGAUCGGUGUCUGCAACUCGACACCGUGAAGUUGGAGUCGCUAGUAAUCGCAGAUCAGCAACGCUGCGGUGAAUACGUUCUCGGGCCUUGUACACACCGCCCGUCACGUCAUGAAAGUCGGCAACACCNGAAG
rnacentral:rRNA from 1 species